rnacentral:lncRNA from 1 species
CAGAAUUUUCCUUUUGCAAAUGAAAAAAAACAAUAAAAUUAAUGUGCAAAAUCUUAUAACAAUAAGAUGGCUAUUUAUUUAGCAAGGCCAUUCAACAAGGAAAUGCAUUGUUUGAAUGUUUAAAAGUGAAUAAAUUAUAUCACUUGCUUAAGUGUGAAAGCUUUGAAAUUAUCUCAGGGUCCAAAAAUGUAAUUUUGUCUCAUCUAUGAUGAAAGUUGUAGAAGCAAGUCGUUGUCAGGCUAUGAUCUUUUGGCAUUCAAAGCAUCAACAAUUGUUAAAAUUUGUGAUAAAGUUACACAGGAGACACAUACCUGAAAGUUAAGUUUAUUUAAAAAAAAAAAAUUAAGGACACAUUAAUGUAAUUUUAAAUAAUCAGAAUAAAAACUAUUCAGCAAAUUGUCAACGAUGUUAUCUAGUUUUGAAAUAAAAGAUUAAACAUUCAAUCAAAAUCUAUAAAAUUUAUCCCUUAUAUUAGUGACUGU